AAAAAAAAAAAAAAAAAAAAAAAAAAAAGAUUACUACAUCCUAUUUGUCUCAUUCCUUCCUUUCC
rnacentral:ribozyme from 16 species